rnacentral:rRNA from 1 species
AUUGAACGCUGGCGGCAUGCCUUACACAUGCAAGUCGAACGGCAGCACGGGUGCUUGCACCUGGUGGCGAGUGGCGAACGGGUGAGUAAUACAUCGGAACAUGUCCUGUAGUGGGGGAUAGCCCGGCGAAAGCCGGAUUAAUACCGCAUACGAUCUACGGAUGAAAGCGGGGGACCUUCGGGCCUCGCGCUAUAGGGUUGGCCGAUGGCUGAUUAGCUAGUUGGUGGGGUAAAGGCCUACCAAGGCGACGAUCAGUAGCUGGUCUGAGAGGACGACCAGCCACACUGGGACUGAGACACGGCCCAGACUCCUACGGGAGGCAGCAGUGGGGAAUUUUGGACAAUGGGCGAAAGCCUGAUCCAGCAAUGCCGCGUGAGUGAAGAAGGCCUUCGGGUUGUAAAGCACUUUUGUCCGGAAAGAAAUCCUUGGCCCUAAUACGGUCGGGGGAUGACGGUACCGGAAGAAUAAGCACCGGCUAACUACGUG